rnacentral:rRNA from 1 species
AUUGAACGCUGGCGGCAGGCCUAACACAUGCAAGUCGAGCGGAUGAAGGGGGCUUGCUCCUGGAUUCAGCGGCGGACGGGUGAGUAAUGCCUUGGAAUCUGCCUGGUAGUGGGGGAUAACGUCCGGAAACGGGCGCUAAUACCGCAUACGUCCUGAGGGAGAAAGUGGGGGAUCUUCGGACCUCACGCUAUCAGAUGAGCCUAGGUCGGAUUAGCUAGUUGGUGGGGUAAAGGCCUACCAAGGCGACGAUCCGUAACUGGUCUGAGAGGAUGAUCAGUCACACUGGAACUGAGACACGGUCCAGACUCCUACGGGAGGCAGCAGUGGGGAAUAUUGGACAAUGGGCGAAAGCCUGAUCCAGCCAUGCCGCGUGUGUGAAGAAGGUCUUCGGAUUGUAAAGCACUUUAAGUUGGGAGGAAGGGCAGUAAGUUAAUACCUUGCUGUUUUGACGUUACCAACAGAAUAAGCACCGGCUAACUUCGUG